rnacentral:rRNA from 1 species
UACGUAGGGUGCGAGCGUUAAUCGGAAUUACUGGGCGUAAAGCGUGCGCAGGCGGUUCGUUAAGUCUGAUGUGAAAGCCCCGGGCUCAACCUGGGAAUGGCAUUGGAAACUGGCGGGCUGGAGUGUGGCAGAGGGGGGUGGAAUUCCGCGUGUAGCAGUGAAAUGCGUAGAGAUGCGGAGGAACACCGAUGGCGAAGGCAGCCCCCGGGGCUGACACUGGCGCUCAGGCACGAAAGCGUGGGGAGCAAACAGG